CAGCCGUAAACAAUGUGCGUUAGGUGUGUCGGUAACCACGCGUUACUGAUGCGCCGAAGAGAAAUCGUGAAACGCACCACCUGGGAAGUACGGUCGCAAGGCUGAAACUUAAAGGAAUUGGCGGGGGGAGCACCACAACAGGUGGAGCCUGCGGUUUAAUUGGAUUCAACGCCGGACAUCUCACCGGAUAAGACAGCUGAAUGAUUGUCAAUCUGAAGGUUUUACAUGACUAGCUGAGAGGUGGUGCAUGGCGUCAAGUGACU
rnacentral:rRNA from 1 species